UGUGCUGUGUCCACUCAGGGUUAAAUGGA
rnacentral:piRNA from 1 species